CAGCCCCACGGUAAUACGAAGGGGGCUAGCGUUGUUCGGAUUAACUGGGCGUAAAGGGCGCGUAGGCGGGUUUUUAAGUCAGAGGUGAAAUCCCAAGGCUCAACCUUGGAACUGCCUUUGAUACUGGAAGUCUUGAGUCCGGGAGAGGUGAGUGGAACUGCGAGUGUAGAGGUGAAAUUCGUAGAUAUUCGCAAGAACACCAGUGGCGAAGGCGGCUCACUGGCCCGGUACUGACGCUGAGGCGCGAAAGCGUGGGGAGCAAACAGGAUUAGAUACCCGAGUAGUCCCUGUCUCUUAUACC
rnacentral:rRNA from 1 species